rnacentral:lncRNA from 1 species
UUAAGUGCAUAUUGAUUGGAGAAUUCUAGUUAUUUGAAUUUCCAUGUUGGAUUGGGCUAUUAGAUCUUUCUCAUAAUUAUUGGAUACUAUUUGAUGUGUUAGUCUAACCUCAAGUUUAAGUUUGUGAUUUGACAAGGGAUUUUUGUUAUUGAGUGGAGACUUUGAUUUUGGAGAUAUUUAUUGAAAUUGAAAUGCUUGCUAACUGGGCUCGUAGCCAAAGUGUGGAUCAGCUAUGUUGGGAGUCCUCUCAGUGGA